AACAUUGGGCUCCCAUGGCAGUGGAUCACUCGGCUUGUGGGUCGAUGAAGACCGGGGUAAAACCCGAGAGUGUUUGCGAAUUGCAGGACACAAACGAGCAUCGACAUGUUGAACGCAAAUGGCGGCUCUCGGCUUAUGUCGUUGAGCCCAGUGCUGUCGAGGGUCGGU
rnacentral:rRNA from 1 species